GACGAACGCUGGCGGCGUGCUUAACACAUGCAAGUCGAACGGAAAGGCCCUGCUUUUGUUGGGUGCUCGAGUGGCGAACGGGUGAGUAACACGUGAGUAACCUGCCCUUUACUUUGGGAUAACUUCAGGAAACUGGGGCUAAUACCGGAUAGGAGCUCCUGCUGCAUGGUGGGGGUUGGAAAGUUUCGGCGGUUGGGGAUGGACUCGCGGCUUAUCAGCUUGUUGGUGGGGUAGUGGCUUACCAAGGCUUUGACGGGUAGCCGGCAUGAGAGGGUGACCGGCGACAUUGGGACUGAGAGACGGCCCAGACGGCAACGGGAGGCAGCAGUGGGGAAUAUUGCACAAUGGGGGGAAGCCUGAUGAAGCAACGCCGCGUGCGGGAUGACGGCCUUCGGGUUGUAAACCGCUUUCGCCUGUGACGAAGAGUGAGUGACGGUAAUGGGUAAAGAAGCACCGGCUAACUACGUG
rnacentral:rRNA from 1 species